CCUACGGGCGGCAGCAGUGGGGAAUAUUGCACAAUGGGGGAAACCCUGAUGCAGCGACGCCGCGUGAGUGAAGAAGUAUUUCGGUACGUAAAGCUCUAUCAGCAGGGAAGAAAAUGACGGUACCUGACUAAGAAGCCCCGGCUAACUACGUGCCAGCAGCCGCGGUAAUACGUAGGGGGCAAGCGUUAUCCGGAUUUACUGGGUGUAAAGGGAGCGUAGACGGCAGCGCAAGUCUGGAGUGAAAUCCCAUGGCUUAACCAUGGAACUGCUGUGGAAACUGUGCAGCUAGAGUGCAGGAGAGGGAAGCGGAAUGCCUAGUGUAGCGGUGAAAUGCGUAGAUAUUAGGAGGAACACCAGUGGCGAAGGCGGCUUACUGGACUGUAACUGACGUUGAGGCUCGAAAGCGUGGGGAGCAAACAGGAUUAGAUACCCUUGUAGUC
rnacentral:rRNA from 1 species